AUUGAACGCUGGCGGAAUGCUUUACACAUGCAAGUCGAACGGCAGCACGGGGCAACCUGGUGGCGAGUGGUGAACGGGUGAGUAAUACAUCGGAACGUGCCCAAUCGUGGGGGGAUAACGUAGCGAAAGUUACGCUAAUACCGCAUACGAUCUACGGAUGAAAGCGGGGGAUCGCAAGACCUCGCGCGAGUGGAGCGGCCGAUGUCAGAUUAGGUAGUUGGUGGGGUAAAAGGCUCACCAAGCCAACGAUCUGUAGCUGGUCUGAGAGGACGACCAGCCACACUGGAACUGAGACACGGUCCAGACUCCUACGGGAGGCAGCAGUGGGGAAUUUUGGACAAUGGGCGCAAGCCUGAUCCAGCCAUUCCGCGUGCAGGAUGAAGGCCUCGGUUGGU
rnacentral:rRNA from 1 species